rnacentral:rRNA from 1 species
UUCCUCUUAGUAAAAGAGGUAAGACCUGCUCACUGAGAUUUUAAAGAGCCGCAGUAUCCUGACUGUGCUAAGGUAGCAUAAUCAUUAGUCUUUUAAUUGGAGACUGGUAUGAAUGGUUAAACGAGAAAUCAGCUUUUUUAGUUGUAAAACUUGAAUUUAACUUUUUAGUGAAAAGGCUAAAAUUAUUCAAAAAGACGAGAAGACCCUAUAGAGUUUUAUAAUUAAUGGAAUAUUUCUUUUUUAGAUUUUUAUAAGAGGUAUUUAUAAAGUUAUUUUGUUGGGGCGACAUUUAGAUAUAUAAAACUCUUUAUUUUCAAAACUUUAAUGAAAGAUGAAUAUGAUCCUUUAAAAAAGAUCAUAAGAAAAAAUUACCUUAGGGAUAACAGCGUAAUCUUUUUUGAGAGUUCUAAUCGACAAAAAGGUUUGCGACCUCGAUGUUGGACUAAAAUUAAGGCAGGGUGCAGCAGUUUUGCUAUAAGGUCUGUUCGACCUAUAAUUUUUUACGUGAU